AUUGAACGCUGGCGGCAGGCCUAACACAUGCAAGUCGAGCGGAGCGGCGGACGGGUGAGUAAUGCCUAGGAAUCUGCCUGGUAGUGGGGGAUAACGUCCGGAAACGGGCGCUAAUACCGCAUACUAUCGGCUGAGCCUCGGUCGGAUUAGCUCGUUGGUCGGGUAAAGGCCUACCAAGGCGACGAUCCGUAACUGGUCUGAGAGGAUGAUCAGUCACACUGGAACUGAGACACGUUCAAGAUGCCUACGGGAGGCAGCAGUGGGGAAUAUUGGACAAUGGGCGAAUGCCUGAACCAGCCAUGCCGAGUGCGUGAAGAAGGUCUUCGGAUUGUAAAGCACUUUAAGUUGGGAGGCGUAACCAGCAGAAUAAGCACCGGCUAACCUCGUGCCAGCAGCCGCGGUAAUUC
rnacentral:rRNA from 1 species